UACGGAGGGUGCAAGCGUUAAUCGGAAUUACUGGGCGUAAAGCGCACGCAGGUGGCUGAGUCAGUCGAUUGUGAAAGCCCUGGGCUUAACCUGGGAAUUGCAGUCGAUACUACUCAGCUAGAGUAUGGGAGAGGGUAGUGGAAUUCCCGGUGUAGCGGUGAAAUGCGUAGAUAUUGGGAGGAACACCAGUGGCGAAGGCGGCUUCUUGGCCUAUUCUUGACGCUGAGGCGCGAAAGCUGGGGGAGCAAACGGGG
rnacentral:rRNA from 1 species